GACGAACGCUGGCGGCGUGCUUAACACAUGCAAGUCGAACGGAAAGGCCCUGCUUGCAGGGUACUCGAGUGGCGAACGGGUGAGUAACACGUGGGUGAUCUGCCCUGCACUUCGGGAUAAGCCUGGGAAACUGGGUCUAAUACCGGAUAGGAGCCAUUUUUAGUGUGAUGGUUGGAAAGUUUUUUCGGUGUAGGAUGAGCUCGCGGCCUAUCAGCUUGUUGGUGGGGUAAUGGCCUACCAAGGCGGCGACGGGUAGCCGGCCUGAGAGGGUGGACGGCCACAUUGGGACUGAGAUACGGCCCAGACUCCUACGGGAGGCAGCAGUGGGGAAUAUUGCACAAUGGGCGCAAGCCUGAUGCAGCGACGCCGCGUGGGGGAGGACGGCCUUCGGGUUGUAAACUCCUUUCGCUAGGGACGAAGCCUUUUGUGACGGUACCUAGAUAAGAAGCACCGGCUAACUACGUG
rnacentral:rRNA from 1 species